UUUAUAUUGGGAAUGCUGGAUCCAUGGGAGAUAUGUUGUAGAGUUGAAGAAUUGGUUAAUGUAAUUGAAAUGUUUCUUUCUAAUGUGAUGCCAAGGCUGACUUCAACUUGUGUCUUUUCAAUAUAGCCAAUCUCUCCAGGCUGUGUGUCAGAUGGGGAUGUGUCUGGUUGUAUCACUUUUGGAAGGGCAGCUUAUCCCUCUUGGGCAUGAAGCAAUGUCAAUAGCUCCUUGAGCACCAAUUGAUUCAUGAGUAAAAAGAAAGGCCGAGAUGUUAGAAGUAACCCACAACUGUGAAGAAAACUAUGAAUAUCAAGGGAUGGGCAAGAUCAGAGAGUGUGGCAUUGAAACUAGUAGGUAUGAAAAAGACUCAUGGAUUUCUGUCUUUGAAAUCUAAGGUAAAAAUAAAUGAAAAUCAUAACCAUUAAGGACUGAAAAUCGAACCUAGCU
rnacentral:lncRNA from 1 species